GGUUCAAGCCCCUCUAUCCCCAGCG
rnacentral:tRNA from 1 species